rnacentral:lncRNA from 1 species
AGUUCAGCUUUUCCUCUGAGGUCUUCAAGAGGAGUAUAUCGAAGUUUCAAGGAAUUCAAGUGGCUUCGCAGAACUCUUCGUUGGGAGUAUCUUACCUCCAAUAUCCCUGUCCUUCCAUCAAACUACUGGUUCAAAAGAAAUUACAAUCCAAGUGUUGUUGCUUCCAGACUGGUUCCACUAAAAAACUUCCUAAAUGAAUGUAUCAAAGACAAGAAAAUAGUAUCUGAUGUGGCAUUUCAUUUGUUUGUCCAGUCCGAUCUAACAAUUCAAGAUAUCACCAGACAACGAAAGGGUCAAACUCAUCAUUCAUAUCUACCAUGUCUUUGGAAUUGUGGAGGAAAAAUCCAUAAAGAUGAUGAUGAUUUUGACUAUGCUGCAUUUAAAAGGGAAUUGAGCAGAACUCUAAUGAAUGAAGACUCUGAUUGAUUAUGAAAUUCUGAAUAAGAACUGAAAAACUCCAACCAAUUUCUGAAGUUACUUUGUCUGUAACUUGAGUAACUUUUGAAAAGUCUCUAAUAUACAAAAUUUUGUUUUUACAUUUAUUUUCAAAUGCCAAGAAAAUCAGAAAAAUAUAAUACUUUUUUCUGCCUAAGGGGUUUUUAAACCAUUAUUUACACAUUAUUAUUCAUAGCAUUAUCUACUUCAAGUUCUACUGUUCCAAUACAACACCAUUUGGCAAGAAAGGUUGUAGCUAGUUCUCUUAUUUAUUAUCAUUGUCAUCAUUUUCAUCUUCAUCGUUCUCAUUUUCAUUUAUAAUACGAGUAAAACACAAGAAAAUAAAAAUAGUAGGAAAUUAGUUUACAACAGUGUUACUCUUUGAGCAGUAUUAUGACAAUUUAGUUUUCACUUCAAAUAUUAAUGUCUUGUAUACAAAAUUCAUGGAAUACCACACAAGAUAUUCAUUUACUAAACUCUUUACCCUUUAGCAUUUAAACCAACCAAAAUAUUCUACCUGUUUU